rnacentral:rRNA from 1 species
UACGAAGGGGGCUAGCGUUGCUCGGACUCACUGGGCGUAAAGGGCACGUAGGCGGAUCUUUGAGUCAGGGGUGAAAUCCUGGAGCUCAACUCCAGAACUGCCUUUGAUACUGGGGAUCUCGAGUCCGGGAGAGGUGAGUGGAACUCCGAGUGUAGAGGUGAAAUUCGUAGAUAUUCGGAAGAACACCAGUGGCGAAGGCGGCUCACUGGCCCGGUACUGACGCUGAGGUGCGAAAGCGUGGGGAGCAAACAGG